rfam:Helianthus annuus linkage group 1, whole genome shotgun sequence.
CACCGUCCAUCAUGUUAUGGGACUUGUCCAUGCUCGAAGUUGUUACAUUAAUUGUAAGGAGAGGGAUGCCGAAGGCAGGGCUAGUGACUGGAGUGAAGUCGUAACAAGGUAACUGUGCUAGAACGUGUUGCUA